UAGUGAUUUCAGCUCUUUUUGUAUUUGUCUAGCAGGCUUUCUGCUUUCGCGGAGAGCCUUU
rnacentral:snRNA from 1 species